GCUCCAAUAGCGUAUAUUAAAGUUGUUGCAGUUAAAAAGCUCGUAGUUGAAUUUCUGGGCCGGGUUGUCCGAGUCCGCAAUAGUGUGACGCGGCGACCGGUCCUUCCUCGCGAGGCGGUGCUCCACUUCAUUGUGGGGUGCUCACUCGCGUCCUUUACUGUGAGAAAAUUAGAGUGUUUAAAGCAGGCUUUCCGCUUGAA
rnacentral:rRNA from 1 species